CCUACGGGAGGCAGCAGUGGGGAAUUUUGGACAAUGGGCGAAAGCCUGAUCCAGCAAUGCCGCGUGAGUGAAGAAGGCCUUCGGGUUGUAAAGCUCUUUUGUCAGGGAAGAAACGGUGUGGGCUAAUAUCCUGCACUAAUGACGGUACCUGAAGAAUAAGCACCGGCUAACUACGUGCCAGCAGCCGCGGUAAUACGUAGGGUGCAAGCGUUAAUCGGAAUUACUGGGCGUAAAGCGUGCGCAGGCGGUUUUGUAAGUCUGUCGUGAAAGCCCCGGGCUCAACCUGGGAAUUGCGAUGGAGACUGCAAGGCUUGAAUCUGGCAGAGGGGGGUAGAAUUCCACGUGUAGCAGUGAAAUGCGUAGAGAUGUGGAGGAACACCGAUGGCGAAGGCAGCCCCCUGGGUCAAGAUUGACGCUCAUGCACGAAAGCGUGGGGAGCAAACAGGAUUAGAUACCCUGGUAGUCCACGCCCUAAACGAUGUCUACUAGUUGUCGGGUUUUAAUUAACUUGGUAACGCAGCUAACGCGUGAAGUAGACCGCCUGGGGAGUACGGUCGCAAGNUUAAAACGUUAAGGAAUUGACG
rnacentral:rRNA from 1 species